rnacentral:rRNA from 1 species
GACGAACGCUGGCGGCGUGCUUAACACAUGCAAGUCGAACGGAAAGGCCCUGCUUGCAGGGUACUCGAGUGGCGAACGGGUGAGUAACACGUGGGUGAUCUGCCCUGCACUUCGGGAUAAGCCUGGGAAACUGGGUCUAAUACCGGAUAGGAGCCAUUUUUAGUGUGAUGGUUGGAAAGUUUUUUCGGUGUAGGAUGAGCUCGCGGCCUAUCAGCUUGUUGGUGGGGUAAUGGCCUACCAAGGCGGCGACGGGUAGCCGGCCUGAGAGGGUGGACGGCCACAUUGGGACUGAGAUACGGCCCAGACUCCUACGGGAGGCAGCAGGGGGGAAGAUUGCACAAUGGGCGCGAGCCUGAUGCAGCUACGCCGCGUGGGGGAUGACGGCCUUCGGGUUGUAAACUCCUUUCGCUAGGGACGAAGCUUUUUGUGACGGUACCUAGAUAAGAAGCACCGGCUAACUACGUG